CUACGUGCCAGCAGCCGCGGUAAUACGUAGGGAGCGAGCGUUAUCCGGAUUUAUUGGGUGUAAAGCGUGUGUAGGCGGUUUUAUAAGUCUAGGGUCUAAGCCCGGAGCUCAACUCCGGUUCGCCUUGGAAACUGUAAGACUUGAGUUUGGUAGAGGUAAAUGGAAUUUCUAGUGUAGCGGUGAAAUGCGUAGAUAUUAGAAGGAACACCAGUGGCGAAGGCGAUUUACUGGGCCAACACUGACGCUGAGACACGAAAGCGUGGGUAGCAAAUAGGAUUAGAUACCCUAGUAGUCCACGCUGUAAACGAUGGAUACUAAGUGUCGGGUAACCGGUGCUGAAGUUAACACAUUAAGUAUCCCACCUGAGUAGUACGGUCGCAAGACUGAAACUCAAAGGAAUUGACGGGCACCCGCACAAGCGGUGGAGCAUGUCGUUUAAUUCGAAGCAACGCGAAAAACCUUACCAGGACUUGACAUCUC
rnacentral:rRNA from 1 species